ensembl:lncRNA
ACUUAUGCAGGUCCGUCAGGCUAAAGGCUCCUUCGACAUGCAGAGGAAGGAGGUUUCCAGACUCCGAGUUGAAGAAGAGAUUCGCCGUCAUGUCAGAUUUGGGAAAACACUAGCACAGGGCUAUGCUUUCAGGCAGGACUUUCUGAUGGAAAUGAAGCAUGCACUUGAAGCAUCGGCGUCUUCCCAGAAUGCUGUGCUGUUACUGGGGGAACCGGGGUCUGGAAAGAGCACAACUCUUGCCAAAUUGGCACAACUCAUACCUAGCUGGAUACCUGGGGAUGCCAAAGUGCUGAUCUGCUUUGUAGGUCUGACAUCCGACAGCAGAAACGUACGUCUGCUCCUCCAGACCCUGUGUCUGCAGGUAGCCAACAUCUAUAACCUCAAAACAGAGAUAUCUGAGUCACUGUCAGAGUUGUCUAGUGAGCUGUGCUCAUUAUUGGGCCUGGUGACAGAAGACCGGCCCUUGACCCUGGUGCUGGAUGGUCUGGAUAAUCUGAGUGAGGAACAUGAGGCUGACCUUUCCUGGCUUAGUAAUGCUUUACUGCCAAACAUCUUCAGCUGUUCCUUAUAUGUACAUUUAUCUUUUCUGGCCUCUUAUUGCUACCUGUCCCAACUUUUUUGGAAUGUCUAGCUCUCAUGAAAUCCAAAAAGAGCCAAUAUUUGGCAUGACAUUUCAAAAUGUCUCACUUUCAACAUUUGAUAUUGUAACGGAGUGAGGAAUCACACGACAAGAGGACUUCAAUAAAUUCUGGGUGAGGGUGAAUUUAUUGAGAGGU